AGAGUUUGAUCCUGGCUCAGGAUGAACGCUGGCGGCGUGCCUAAUACAUGCAAGUCGAACGCUUUGUGGUUCAACUGAUUUGAAGAGCUUGCUCAGAUAUGACGAUGGACAUUGCAAAGAGUGGCGAACGGGUGAGUAACACGUGGGAAACCUACCUCUUAGCAGGGGAUAACAUUUGGAAACAGAUGCUAAUACCGUAUAACAAUGACAACCGCAUGGUUGUUAUUUAAAAGAUGGUUCUGCUAUCACUAAGAGAUGGUCCCGCGGUGCAUUAGCUAGUUGGUAAGGUAAUGGCUUACCAAGGCGAUGAUGCAUAGCCGAGUUGAGAGACUGAUCGGCCACAAUGGGACUGAGACACGGCCCAUACUCCUACGGGAGGCAGCAGUAGGGAAUCUUCCACAAUGGGCGAAAGCCUGAUGGAGCAACGCCGCGUGUGUGAUGAAGGGUUUCGGCUCGUAAAACACUGUUGUAAGAGAAGAAUGACAUUGAGAGUAACUGUUCAAUGUGUGACGGUAUCUUACCAGAAAGGAACGGCUAAAUACGUGCCAGCAGCCGCGGUAAUACGUAUGUUCCAAGCGUUAUCCGGAUUUAUUGGGCGUAAAGCGAGCGCAGACGGUUAUUUAAGUCUGAAGUGAAAGCCCUCAGCUCAACUGAGGAAUUGCUUUGGAAACUGGAUGACUUGAGUGCAGUAGAGGAAAGUGGAACUCCAUGUGUAGCGGUGAAAUGCGUAGAUAUAUGGAAGAACACCAGUGGCGAAGGCGGCUUUCUGGACUGUAACUGACGUUGAGGCUCGAAAGUGUGGGUAGCAAACAGGAUUAGAUACCCUGGUAGUCCACACCGUAAACGAUGAGUGCUAGGUGUUUGAGGGUUUCCGCCCUUAAGUGCCGCAGCUAACGCAUUAAGCACUCCGCCUGGGGAGUACGACCGCAAGGUUGAAACUCAAAGGAAUUGACGGGGACCCGCACAAGCGGUGGAGCAUGUGGUUUAAUUCGAAGCAACGCGAAGAACCUUACCAGGUCUUGACAUCCCUUGACAACUCCAGAGAUGGAGCGUUCCCUUCGGGGACAAGGUGACAGGUGGUGCAUGGUUGUCGUCAGCUCGUGUCGUGAGAUGUUGGGUUAAGUCCCGCAACGAGCGCAACCCUUAUUACUAGUUGCCAGCAUUCAGUUGGGCACUCUAGUGAGACUGCCGGUGACAAACCGGAGGAAGGUGGGGAUGACGUCAAAUCAUCAUGCCCCUUAUGACCUGGGCUACACACGUGCUACAAUGGCGUAUACAACGAGUUGCCAACCCGCGAGGGUGAGCUAAUCUCUUAAAGUACGUCUCAGUUCGGAUUGUAGGCUGCAACUCGCCUACAUGAAGUCGGAAUCGCUAGUAAUCGCGGAUCAGCACGCCGCGGUGAAUACGUUCCCGGGUCUUGUACACACCGCCCGUCACACCAUGAGAGUUUGUAACACCCAAAGCCGGUGGGGUAACCUUCGGGAGCCAGCCGUCUAAGGUGGGACAGAUGAUUAGGGUGAAGUCGUAACAAGGUAGCCGUAGGAGAACCUGCGGCUGGAUCACCU
rnacentral:rRNA from 1 species